AUAGUUGAUUCAGCAUCUAAACGUGAGUUUACGGCUUCACACAUUGCCAGAUAACUAUCAUUCAAAAUAUCGGGAGGUACAGAAAGAUAAGGAUAGUCAGAACCAUUUUUUAAACCUGGAGGAAGCAAAGGUGCUGAAGCAGUAUGAUUCCAGGAUUUUGCAUAAUACGGGUUGAUGGGAGAAAACGGCGUAAAGGGAUUGUUAGGUACAUCCUUCAUGGAGGGAUAUACAGGAGCAGCAAGGGCCGGCCAAUACGUAGAUUGCUUGGAAGGUAAAAGAGCCAUCGAAGGGGGCCUUGCCCAAGAAAGCUGAAUCCUAACACCAUGCAAAGGGAAAUUGUUCAUUUCGUUAAUUGCCUGCUCAGCAAAAUAUCGUUGAGCAAAGACUAUGCGUCCACUAUUAUUAUUGACUUGAGUGUAUAAAAUCUCACCAAAGUGGAGGAAAUAUGAUCGUAGCUCUUGUGUCGUUAUAUUUUCGGGGAGUUGGUGAACAUAAACUGCUGUAUUGUUUGGAUCAGUAAAUUGAUUUAGUGGUUGAGGUGUACCAUAAAACCCAGGCGAACUUAAGUAAGUAUUUUUAUCGGAUUUGACGGAAUGAACUAAUAUAGAUCUUUUUAAACAAAAGGCACCCUGCAUCUCUACCUGCGCGUUUUGUAUAUCACUUUCAUUAGCUAACCAUAUGAAAGCAAUGCUAGUUGAAGUCCCGUCAACACAACGUAGAACACGAGCAGAAAUAAAGUUAUAACGUUGAAACAAGUAUUUUAUAUCAUUUUCAGACACUUCUGGAUCAAUGUUACUAAUGAAAAGCAUAUAGUAACUAGGUUUUUGCCAUUCAGGAACCACAUCUAAAGAGAUCGGGUUCCCAGAUAUUAAUCGUUGAGUAGAUUGCCUUUCUAAAGCAUUCCUAGCAGCAUCUUGACUCUCAAAUUCAAUGCAGCAAGUUUUUAAAAUAGCUCCCGACUCGCCAUCUUCAUAAUAGUUUACUUUUCUAACAUUUUCAAAAAUUGCUCGAAUAUAGUCCUCAUUCAUCCAUUCUUCUAAGUUAUUUAACCUGUUU